GUGUAUUCCUGUGCAGUACGAAGGUUCUGUGGUUGUGCUGCUAACGGCGCGAUGCUGAAUUCAGCGGCAAAUGGUGGAAGUCAUCUCCUUGUCCAGCGGAAGGGACACGUUGUAGCUCCCUGUUGUGCAGUGAAGGCCAACUCCAGUGUUGGACUGGUGGACAUAGCUCAACCACAAUCUCAGACGCAGUGACCACCUACGUGGGGGCUGGAGUCCAGCUGGGUCCACUCGGC